rnacentral:lncRNA from 1 species
GGGCCCAAUUUUUUAAUUAAAACGUUUGACUUUCCCAAAUUCUGUUCAACUCUUCCAAGCUCGCCCCACCUCAAAUCCUCUUGACUCCAUUCCUAAACCCACCAAAACCCCUUUCCUCCUUAUUGUACCCUCCAAAAUCUUGGGAAUCCAUGCAUUGGGACCCCAAACUCAAACCAUGGUUGCAAAGAAGUGAGGCACUAUUGAGGAGCAUGAGGCACGGUCCAAGAGGAAGUGAUAGCUUGAAGAUCUUCACCCCACACCUUCUGCAUUGAUUUUUCCACCAAAUCAGGUUUCUAUAGCUUCACGAGCAAUCACUUUGGGCAGAAAGUUUAGUUUUGAUUUUUUGGAUGGGGAAAACUUUCGGAUUGGGUCUUGGAUUCAUCAACAAGGGUGAG